UACGAAGGGGGCUAGCGUUGCUCGGAAUUACUGGGCGUAAAGGGCGCGUAGGCGGGAUGGCAAGUCGGUCGUGAAAUCCCUCGGCUCAACCGAGGAACGUCGAUCGAUACUGCUGUUCUUGAGGAUUGCAGAGGAGACUGGAAUUCCCGGUGUAGCGGUGAAAUGUGUAGAGAUCGGGAGGAACACCGGUGGCGAAGGCUGGUCUCUGGGCAAUUCCUGACGCUGAGGCGCGAAAGCGUGGGGAGCAAACCGG
rnacentral:rRNA from 1 species